rnacentral:rRNA from 1 species
GACGAACGCUGGCGGCGUGCUUAACACAUGCAAGUCGAACGAAGAGCGAUGGAAGCUUGCUUCUAUCAAUCUUAGUGGCGCACGGGUGAGUAACGCGUAAUCAACCUGCCCUUCAGAGGGGGACAACAGUUGGAAACGACUGCUAAUACCGCAUACGAUCUGACCUCGGCAUCGAGGAUAGAUGAACGGUGGCCUCUAUUUAUAAGCUAUCACUGAAGGAGGGGAUUGCGUCUGAUUAGCUAGUUGGAGGGGUAACGGCCCACCAAGGCGAUGAUCAGUAGCCGGUCGGAGAGGAUGAACGGCCACAUUGGGACUGAGACACGGCCCAGACUCCUACGGGAGGCAGCAGUGGGGAAUCUUCCGCAAUGGACGAAAGUCUGACGGAGCAACGCCGCGUGAGGGAUGACGGCCUUCGGGUUGGAAAGCUCGGUUAAUCGGGACGAAAGGCCUUCUUGCGAAUAGUUAGAAGGAUUGACGGUACCGGAAUAGAAAGCCACGGCUAACUACGUG